GAUGAACGCUGGCGGCGUGCCUAAUACAUGCAAGUCGAGCGAACAGACGAGGAGCUUGCUCCUCUGACGUUAGCGGCGGACGGGUGAGUAACACGUGGAUAACCUACCUAUAAGACUGGGAUAACUUCGGGAAACCGGAGCUAAUACCGGAUAAUAUAUUGAACCGCAUGGUUCAAUAGUGAAAGACGGUUUUGCUGUCACUUAUAGAUGGAUCCGCGCCGCAUUAGCUAGUUGGUAAGGUAACGGCUUACCAAGGCAACGAUGCGUAGCCGACCUGAGAGGGUGAUCGGCCACACUGGAACUGAGACACGGUCCAGACUCCUACGGGGGGCAGCAGUAGGGAAUCUUCCGCAAUGGGCGAAAGCUUGACGGAGCAACGCCGCGUGAGUGAUGAAGGUCUUCGGAUCGUAAAACUCUGUUAUUAGGGAAGAACAAAUGUGUAAGUAACUAUGCACGUCUUGACGGUACCUAAUCAGAAAGCCACGGCUAACUACGUG
rnacentral:rRNA from 1 species